rnacentral:rRNA from 1 species
GAUGAACGCUAGCUACAGGCUUAACACAUGCAAGUCGAGGGGCAGCAUGAAGAUUGCUUGCAAUCUUUGAUGGCGACCGGCGCACGGGUGAGUAACGCGUAUCCAACCCUUCCCCCAAGUAGGGAAUAGCCCGGCGAAAGUCGGAUUAAUGCCCUAUGUUUUCCUUGGAUGGCAUCUGAUGAGGAACAAAGACUUGUCGCUUGGGGAUGGGGAUGCGUCUGAUUAGGCAGUCGGCGGGGUAACGGCCCACCGAGCCAUCGAUCAGUAGGGGUUCUGAGAGGAAGGUCCCCCACAUUGGAACUGAGACACGGUCCAAACUCC